UACGGAGGGUGCAAGCGUUAUCCGGAAUCACUGGGUUUAAAGGGUGCGUAGGCGGUCAGAUAAGUCAGUUGUGAAAUACCCCGGCUUAACCGGUGGAACUGCGAUUGAUACUGUUUGACUUGAAUCAGGUUGAGGUAGGCGGAAUGUGGCAUGUAGCGGUGAAAUGCUUAGAUAUGCCAUAGAACACCGAUUGCGAAGGCAGCUUGCUGGACCUUGAUUGACGCUGAGGCACGAAAGCGUGGGGAGCAAACAGG
rnacentral:rRNA from 1 species